rnacentral:pre_miRNA from 1 species
AUACCCAUCACCUAGAGGUCUUGUUAAAAAUGCAUAUUCUGAUCCAGCAGGUGUGGGUUGGGGUCUCAGAUUCUGCACUUCUAACAAGCUCCCAUGUGGUGCUUUU